ACCCGCACAAGCAGCGGAGCAUGUGGUUUAAUUCGAAGCAACGCGAAGAACCUUACCAGGGCUUGACAUCCCUCUGACAGUCCCUUAACCGGGACCUUCUUCGGACAGAGGAGACAGGUGGUGCAUGGUUGUCGUCAGCUCGUGUCGUGAGAUGUUGGGUUAAGUCCCGCAACGAGCGCAACCCUCGACCUUAGUUGCCAGCAUUCAGUUGGGCACUCUAAGGUGACUGCCGGCUAAAAGUCGGAGGAAGGUGGGGAUGACGUCAAAUCAUCAUGCCCCUUAUGACCUGGGCUACACACGUGCUACAAUGGGCGGUACAAAGGGUCGCGAACCCGCGAGGGGGAGCCAAUCCCAAAAAGCCGCUCUCAGUUCGGAUUGCAGGCUGCAACUCGCCUGCAUGAAGCCGGAAUCGCUAGUAAUCGCGGAUCAGCAUGCCGCGGUGAAUACGUUCCCGGGCCUU
rnacentral:rRNA from 1 species